AUAAGCAACUAUACGGUGAAACUGCGAAUGGCUCAUUAAAUCAGUUAUCGUUUAUUUGAUAGUACCUUACUACUUGGAUAACCGUGGUAAUUCUAGAGCUAAUACAUGCUAAAAACCUCGACUUCGGAAGGGGUGUAUUUAUUAGAUAAAAAACCAGCGCCCUUCGGGGCUCCUUGGUGAUUCAUAAUAACUAAACGAAUCGCAUGGCCUUGCGCCGGCGAUGGUUCAUUCAAAUUUCUGCCCUAUCAACUUUCGAUGGUAGGAUAGUGGCCUACCAUGGUAUCAACGGGUAACGGGGAAUUAGGGUUCUAUUCCGGAGAGGGAGCCUGAGAAACGGCUACCACAUCCAAGGAAGGCAGCAGGCGCGCAAAUUACCCAAUCCCGACACGGGGAGGUAGUGACAAUAAAUACUGAUACAGGGCUCUUUUGGGUCUUGUAAUUGGAAUGAGUACAAUUUAAAUCCCUUAACGAGGAACAAUUGGAGGGCAAGUCUGGUGCCAGCAGCCGCGGUAAUUCCAGCUCCAAUAGCGUAUAUUAAAGUUGUUGCAGUUAAAAAGCUCGUAGUUGAACCUUGGGCCUGGCUGGCCGGUCCGCCUCACCGCGUGUACUGGUCCGGCCGGGCCUUUCCUUCUGGGGAGCCGCAUGCCCUUCACUGGGCGUGUUGGGGAACCAGGACUUUUACUUUGAAAAAAUUAGAGUGUUCAAAGCAGGCCUUUGCUCGAAUACAUUAGCAUGGAAUAAUAGAAUAGGACGUGCGGUUCUAUUUUGUUGGUUUCUAGGACCGCCGUAAUGAUUAAUAGGGAUAGUCGGGGGCAUCAGUAUUCAAUUGUCAGAGGUGAAAUUCUUGGAUUUAUUGAAGACUAACUACUGCGAAAGCAUUUGCCAAGGAUGUUUUCAUUAAUCAGUGAACGAAGUUAGGGGAUCGAAGACGAUCAGAUACCGUCGUAGUCUUAACCAUAAACUAUGCCGACUAGGGAUCGGGCGAUGUUAUCAUUUUGACUCGCUCGGCACCUUACGAGAAAUCAAAGUCUU
rnacentral:rRNA from 1 species